rnacentral:rRNA from 1 species
GACGAACCGAGCGAACGUUGUUCGGAAUUACUGGGCGUAAAGGGCGCGUAGGCGGUCAGGUCAGUCCCGUGUGAAAUCCCUCGGCUCAACUGAGGAACUGCACGGGAAACUGCCUGGCUUGAGUUCGGGAGAGGGAAGCGGAAUUCCGGGUGUAGCGGUGAAAUGCGUAGAUAUCCGGAGGAACACCGGUGGCGAAGGCGGCUUCCUGGACCGACACUGACGCUGAGGCGCGAAAGCUAGGGGAGCAAACGGG